rnacentral:lncRNA from 1 species
UUCUAUGAUCAAAAUAUUACUAAAUUCUUUGUACAAACAUCUUAAAAUUGUUCUAAUUAUCAGACAUAACAUCAACAGCAGAUUGAUAUUAGACAACUAAUGAAAAAGAACAACUUGUACAAAAACCCAAUUGUUCCAUCGAACCUACCACCACACACAUAUAUACAUCAUAUAUUAUUUACAGACUAGACGCAUCGUAACAAGUUCUAAUUAACAAAGCCAAAUCUAAAGUACAAAAAAUAUAAACUGUGCAUAAAUCAUAUAUAUAACCGGCUUUAUUAACUAGAAAAUCACCAUUUUAGAUCAAAAGCAAACCAAGAAUCAGUCCAUCACUGACCAACAGAGAUGGAUUGUCCUUGGCCGGCUAAUCCAAGCCUCGAUCUCGAGUGUUGCCUGGUGAUCAUUCUUGUGAUAUCGGGAUGAGCCACUGAUCCACCGAUAAUAUUUUUCUCCGCCUCUCGCUUUACUUUCUUGACCUGGCUAUGAAUUGGAUGAUCAUAGCCUUCUCCCGUGCCCUUAUGCGGUUGUUCCUCCAUUUGCAUAAUUGUUAAACGCAACAGCAGAAAAAAGUCUCUAUUUGUACGAAUAUGACUCUGUUUACAAAUUUGUGUGUAUAAAUAGGUGGGAAGGGAGAACGGAAAGUUGGUGGGUAUGUGUUGUUUGGAUUGGGUUGAGACAGCAAUUUUGACUGUUCUAAGAAAAUUCGACGUAUACUGAAAGUUAAGUCUGGAACGUUCCAUUUGUCAAUUCAGUGGAGAGUUUGAUCUGUAUUGUGUCUGAUAAGAAGAACGAGUCAAAUUAGAGAAUAACGCGGUGCUUUUCGCAUUUGAAUUGAUCUAAUUAAGGUAUAUAAGAGGAAGAUGCCACGUUUAUUCCAUUAAAACAAGAUGGUCGGUCUUCUAAGCUAAUUAAGUAAUCUAGAAAUUGGUUGACGACGUAAAUGAAUCACAAACAAAUAUAUAGAUAUAUAGUUGACGUGCAGGAAUAAUAUUAAGAUAAUUAGUCCUUGUUUGAUGGCAAUGAAUUUUUUAUUUUUUUUUGUUGAAAUAAAUGAGUUUUGGAAUAAUAUUUUUUUUUUGAAGAAUGUGUGGUUAAAAAGUAGGAAAAUCUUCGAUUUACGUUCAAAAUAUUAUUGUGAGAAUGUGUAAUUGAAAGAGUUUUACACACAAAUUUUUUUUAAAUUAAAUUAAAUUAAAAAAUAGUAGACAAACAGGAGAUUUAUUACUUUAAAGCAGCAUUCUAAGAUGCGCACACAUAUGCCCGCAUAUGUUUGAUGCUUUUUCGAAACACUUCGCAUGUGGGGUAUGCGUGUGAUAAUACAAUCAAUCCAUUUCGUUGAUUGUAUAUGCACGAUUAAAUGCCAAAAUGCACACAUUGUGUUAAAAAUUGUGUCAAAAUUAUCUUAGCAAAUUCCAGCCCAUUUUUAUAACUAAAAAAGUAAAUUGAGGCCAACAAACAUCAAAUUAGACCAAAUCAUCCAAGUCUAGUGGUGGCAAUGGGCCGAACCCUUAAACACAAGCUCAAGCACGGCUUGUGCUCAAGGGGCGAGCUCGGCUCGGCCCAUGAGCUCAUUUUUUUUUUUUUUUUUCAAAUUUCAAAUUUUUUCUUCACAUUUUUUACGAGCCCUCGUGAAUGGCCCAUGAGCUGCUCGCGAGCUGGCUACCUCGGCUCAUUGGAUCCCACCCCUGCUUGGCUCGUGCUCGGACUUGUCAAACUGUCGACAAGCCGAUGAGCCGUUCCUCUAAUUUUAUUUUUGGGCAGUAUCUAGAUAUUUGGACAUAUUCAAUGCUUCUGCAGUAUACACACGCACAAAAAGUGGAAAUUUAGAAGGAAUCCUUGGUAUAGUGCUGACUUUCUUUUUCACUAUAAAGAGCUAGUAUUUUUCAAAAUUAGAUAUUUAUAUAGUCAGUUGAAUAAAUCAACUCCUAGAUGACUCUCCAUAAUUUUAUUCAAAAUAUGUUUGGCGUACGUGCAAAAAUUACGUUGCAAAUGCAUGUGUUAAAACAUUAACGACAAGUACAUUGCAAUCUUUCGUGACGUGCAUUAUCUUUUGUUGUAUUCGUGUACUCUAUAAUACCACCCUAACGUAUAAGUGGACGUUGUAAAAGACACGCGACAAUAUAUUCUGCUUGUUGUAAAGGACAAUUUUCUUGUAAUGUCUCUAAAAUUUUAUUUAGAAUCUGUUUGGUGUACCAAUUACCAUUAUGUAGCAGAAAGUAACAAUAUAUGCAAAAAGUAAACUUGCUUCAUUUUUUUUUUAAUCAAAAAAGGACUUCUUCACAAUACAGAAAUCAGGCAUAAAUUAAAAUACGCUGUUUUGAUUAAGAAAUGCCUUGUUGCUUUGGCUUGAAAAACAUACACAAGGUAUGGAUUUGAUUUUUAAGUAUCCUAUAUAUGUUUCUUAUCAAACAAAAAGAGUCCAAAGACGGCAAACUUACACAAUAUUAAGCUAAAAUUAAUUGCUUUUCGUCUUCCAGAGACUCCAGUAAAGACCAUAAUCAUCUGUUUAAGCGAUUUUCUAUGAUCAAAAUAUUACUAAAUUCUUUGUACAAACAUCUUAAAAUUGUUCUAAUUAUCAGACAUAACAUCAACAGCAGAUUGAUAUUAGACAACUAAUGAAAAAGAACAACUUGUACAAAAACCCAAUUGUUCCAUCGAACCUACCACCACACACAUAUAUACAUCAUAUAUUAUUUACAGACUAGACGCAUCGUAACAAGUUCUAAUUAACAAAGCCAAAUCUAAAGUACAAAAAAUAUAAACUGUGCAUAAAUCAUAUAUAUAACCGGCUUUAUUAACUAGAAAAUCACCAUUUUAGAUCAAAAGCAAACCAAGAAUCAGUCCAUCACUGACCAACAGAGAUGGAUUGUCCUUGGCCGGCUAAUCCAAGCCUCGAUCUCGAGUGUUGCCUGGUGAUCAUUCUUGUGAUAUCGGGAUGAGCCACUGAUCCACCGAUAAUAUUUUUCUCCGCCUCUCGCUUUACUUUCUUGACCUGGCUAUGAAUUGGAUGAUCAUAGCCUUCUCCCGUGCCCUUAUGCGGUUGUUCCUCCAUUUGCAUAAUUGUUAAACGCAACAGCAGAAAAAAGUCUCUAUUUGUACGAAUAUGACUCUGUUUACAAAUUUGUGUGUAUAAAUAGGUGGGAAGGGAGAACGGAAAGUUGGUGGGUAUGUGUUGUUUGGAUUGGGUUGAGACAGCAAUUUUGACUGUUCUAAGAAAAUUCGACGUAUACUGAAAGUUAA